rnacentral:rRNA from 1 species
GCAGUCGACGGUAACAGAACUAGCUUGCUAGUUGCUGACGAGUGGCGGACGGGUGAGUAAUACUUAGGGAUCUGCCUCUGUGUGGGGGAUAACUAUUGGAAACGAUAGCUAAUACCGCAUAACGUCUACGGACCAAAGAGGGCUUCGGCUCUCGCGCAGAGAGGAACCUAAGCGAGAUUAGCUUGUUGGUGAGGUAAAGGCUCACCAAGGCGACGAUCUCUAGCUGUUCUGAGAGGAAGAUCAGCCACACUGGAACUGAGACACGGUCCAGACUCCUACGGGAGGCAGCAGUGGGGAAUAUUGCACAAUGGGGGCAACCCUGAUGCAGCCAUGCCGCGUGUGUGAAGAAGGCCUUCGGGUUGUAAAGCACUUUCAGUUGUGAGGAAAGUUUAGUAGUUAAUACCUGCUAGAUGUGACGUUAGCAACAGAAGAAGCACCGGCUAACUCCGUGCCAGCAGCCGCGGUAAUACGGAGGGUGCGAGCGUUAAUCGGAAUUACUGGGCGUAAAGCGCACGCA